AUCUUAUCAAGAGCAGGUGGAGGGACAAGCCCGAUGAAACCCGGCAACCGGCAGAUGUGCAGAGCCGUUCUUGCAUUCAAGGACGUAUCUGCAGCGCGCACGGUGCUAAUUCUUGCGGUAGCGGUCAGAAGACUGCUGCUGACAGAUGAGAG
rnacentral:ncRNA from 2 species